AUACGAAGGGUGCAAGCGUUACUCGGAAUUACUGGGCGUAAAGCGUGCGUAGGUGGUUGUUUAAGUCUGUCGUGAAAGCCCUGGGCUCAACCUGGGAAUGGCGAUGGAAACUGGGCGACUAGAGUGUGGCAAAGGGUAGUGGAAUUCCUGGUGUAGCAGUGAAAUGCGUAGAGAUCAGGAGGAACAUCCGUGGCGAAGGCGACUGCCUGGGCCAACACUGACACUGAGGCACGAAAGCGUGGGGAGCAAACAGGAUUAGAUACCCUGGUAGUCCACGCCCUAAACGAUGCGAACUGGAUGUUGGGUGCAAUUUGGCACGCAGUAUCGAAGCUAACGCGUUAAGUUCGCCGCCUGGGGAGUACGGUCGCAAGACUGAAACUCAAAGGAAUUGGCGGGG
rnacentral:rRNA from 1 species